UACGUAGGGGGCAAGCGUUGUCCGGAUUUAUUGGGCGUAAAGAGCGCGCAGGCGGUCCAAUAAGUCACUCGUGAAAUCCCUCGGCUCAACCGAGGAAAGUCGGGUGAUACUGUUGGACUAGAGGGCGGAAGAGGAAAGUGGAAUUCCCGGUGUAGUGGUGAAAUGCGUAGAUAUCGGGAGGAACACCAGUGGCGAAGGCGGCUUUCUGGUCCGCAACUGACGCUGAGGCGCGAAGGCUAGGGGAGCGAACGGG
rnacentral:rRNA from 1 species